AAAGAGAGACCCUGUGACGUGAGGUCACCCCUGCAACUCGUUCAAACAACACACAGGACAAGCCAAAAUGUUCUGAAGUGUGCAUACAUUUCU